AUGGGCAUCCCACCCCAGCACUUUCUAGGAAGGAGGGCAGCAUUUUGAAGGGCUGGAAGUAGAGGAAGGAGGUUGCGGGUAGAAGACUCCAUACUUUCUGUGAUGCCUAUUCCUUAGGUAGGAACUUAGGAACCUCAGGAAUCAAGGCUAUCUGUAAUCACAGGGCUAUUUGAAAAAGAGAAGAAAAGGUGUCUUGAAAUUCAACCAACAUGUUUCAAUUAUUUGCUCCUAAGAACAACAGAAGUUUCAACAUUCUGCCAACAAAGUAACUCCUGGAAGAUUGGCACAGAAGAAGGCACAAGGAGAGCCUUUAUAUAACCAAAGAUAUUUUUGGACCAUGAAUUCGGAAAUUCUCGGAGCCACCCAUCAGUGCCUGAGCUUCAGUGAGUCCAUAUCCCAUGUCACCCACGGCAAAGGAGAAUCUAAGACUUCUGAAGAGUUUCUUGCUUCUUUCCUGUGGGGCAGUGACUCCACUUCCCAGCAGUAAUGGAAUAUCCUGAAUUAGCUACAUUAAUGUUAGAACCAUUUGGACCUCACCCAGGACUUCAACUACAUUAUGGUUCUAGUAUGUUAGGUUUAUGUUCCCCUGCUUUCUACAAUCCUGUUCAAAGAGUUGCUGACUUAACCACAGAGAGGAUUCCAGAACAUGAGACACAGAAUAAACUUGAGCAAUCAUAGUCCAUCCACUUCAUUUUCUCAUCAAAAACCAAAGGUCCAGUGAAGCUCUGGAACUCAACGCUGUAAAGGAGCGAAGGAGCUUCUAUACAGAGCCUGGAUGCCUGUCUCCUUAUCCUACUUCAGUGGACUUGACUGCAAUCCGGACUAUGC
rnacentral:lncRNA from 1 species